rnacentral:rRNA from 1 species
UACGAAGGGGGCUAGCGUUGCUCGGAAUCACUGGGCGUAAAGGGUGCGUAGGCGGGUUUUAAGUCAGGGGUGAAAUCCUGGAGCUCAACUCCAGAACUGCCUUUGAUGACUGAAGAUCUUGAGUCCGGGAGAGGUGAGUGGAACUGCGAGUGUAGAGGUGAAAUCGUAGAUAUUCGCAAGAACACCAGUGGCGAAGGCGGCUCACUGGCCCGGUACUGACGCUGAGGUGCGAAAGCGUGGGGAGCAAACAGG